UCCGGGAAACCGGAGCUAAUACCGGAUAGUUCCUUGAACCGCAUGGUUCAAGGAUGAAAGACGGUUUCGGCUGUCACUUACAGAUGGACCCGCGGCGCAUUAGCUAGUUGGUGGGGUAAUGGCUCACCAAGGCGACGAUGCGUAGCCGACCUGAGAGGGUGAUCGGCCACACUGGGACUGAGACACGGCCCAGACUCCUACGGGAGGCAGCAGUAGGGAAUCUUCCGCAAUGGACGAAAGUCUGACGGAGCAACGCCGCGUGAGUGAUGAAGGUUUUCGGAUCGUAAAGCUCUGUUGUUAGGGAAGAACAAGUGCGAGAGUAACUGCUCGCACCUUGACGGUACCUAACCAGAAAGCCACGGCUAACUACGUGCCAGCAGCCGCGGUAAUACGUAGGUGGCAAGCGUUGUCCGGAAUUAUUGGGCGUAAAGGGCUCGCAGGCGGUUUCUUAAGUCUGAUGUGAAAGCCCCCGGCUCAACCGGGGAGGGUCAUUGGAAACUGGGAAACUUGAGUGCAGAAGAGGAGAGUGGAAUUCCACGUGUAGCGGUGAAAUGCGUAGAG
rnacentral:rRNA from 1 species